rnacentral:lncRNA from 1 species
AAUCCCCGUGAAGAUCCUACGGUACCUUCCUUUCAUACCGAGGAUCCAACGGCUUUACAUGACAGAGGAAUCCACGAAACAGAUGACAUGGCACAAAAACGGACGUCGAUACAAUCCUGAGAAGCUGGUACACCCAUCCGAUGGUGAAGCCUGGACAAGAUUUGAUGUGAUUUAUCGUGAGAAAUUUCUAGAGGCUCGUAAUGUACGUGUUGCGCUGGCAAUAGAUAGGUUCAAUCCAUAUGGAAUGGUAGUUGCCCCGUAUACCUAUUGGCCCAUAUUCGU